UCGAGCGGAAACGAGUUAUCUGAACCUUCGGGGAACGAUAACGGCGUCGAGCGGCGGACGGGUGAGUAAUGCCUGGGAAAUUGCCCUGAUGUGGGGAUAACCUUGGAAACUGGCUAAUACCGCAUAAUAGCUUCGGCUCAAAGAGGGGGACCUUCGGGCCUCUCGCGUCAGGAUAUGCCCAGGUGGGAUUAGCUAGUUGGUGAGGUAAGGGCUCACCAAGGCAACGAUCCCUAGCUGGUCUGAGAGGAUGAUCAGCCACACUGGAACUGAGACACGGUCCAGACUCCUACGGGAGGCAGCAGUGGGGAAUAUUGCACAAUGGGCGCAAGCCUGAUGCAGCCAUGCCGCGUGUAUGAAGAAGGCCUUCGGGUUGUAAAGUACUUUCAGCAGUGAGGAAGGUUCAUGCGUUAAUAGCGUAUGGAUUUGACGUUAGCUGCAGAAGAAGCACCGGCUAACUCCGUG
rnacentral:rRNA from 1 species